rnacentral:rRNA from 1 species
GUGUCAGCAGCCGCGGUAAUACGGAGGGUGCAAGCGUUAUCCGGAUUCAUUGGGUUUAAAGGGUGCGUAGGCUGGGCGGUAAGUCAGUGGUGAAAUCCUGCAGCUUAACUGUAGAAUUGCCAUUGAUACUGCCGUCCUUGAGUGCGCUCGACGUGGGCGGAAUGUGCCGUGUAGCGGUGAAAUGCUUAGAUAUGGCACAGAACACCGAUAGUGAAGACAGCUCACGAGGGCGUUACUGACGCUGAGGCACGAAAGCGUGGGGAUCGAACAGGAUUAGAAACCCGAGUAGUCC